rnacentral:rRNA from 1 species
CCUACGGGUGGCAGCAGUGGGGAAUAUUGGACAAUGGGGGAAACCCUGAUCCAGCGACGCCGCGUGAGUGAAGAAGUAUUUCGGUACGUAAAGCUCUAUUAGCAGGAAAGAAAAUGACGGUACCUGACUAAGACGCCCCGGCUAACUACGUGCCAGCAGCCGCGGCAACACGCAGGGGGCAAGCGUUAUCCGGAUUUACUGGGUGUUAAGGGAGCGUAGACGGUAGCGCAAGUCUGGAGUGAAAUGCCGGGGCCCAACCCCGGAACUGCUCGGGAAACUGUGAAGCUGGAGUGCAGGAGAGGUAGGCGGAAUGCCUGGUGUAGCGGUGAAAUGCGUAGAGAUCA